UUAAAAAGCUCGUAGUUGGAUUUCUGUUGAGGACGGCCGGUCCGCACUAUGUGCGUGUAUCUGGUUCGGCCUUGGCAUCCUCUUGAGGAACGUUCCUGCGCUUGAUUGCGUGGGGCGGUAUUCAAGACUUUUACUUUGAGGAAAUUAGAGUGUUCACGGCAGGCAAGCGCCUUGAAUACAUUAGCAUGGAAUAAUAAUAUAGGAUCUUGGUUCUAUUUGUUGGUUUCUAGGGCUAAGGUAAUGAUUAAUAGGGAUAAUUGGGGGCAUUUGUAUUAACGCGUCAGAGGUGGAAUUCUUGGAUUGCGUUACGACAAACUACUGCGAAAGCAUUUGCCAAGGAUGUUUUCAUUGAUCAAGAACGAAAGUAUGGGGAUCGAAGAUGAUUAGAUACCGUCGUAGUCUAUACCAUAAACUAUGCCGACUAGGGGUUGGAGGUCGUUCUUUUUAUGACUCCUUCAGCACCUUAUGAGAAAUCAAAGUCUUUGGGUUCCGGGGGGAGUAUAGUCGCAAGGCUGAAACUUAAAGGAAUUGACGGAAGGGCACCACCAGGAGUGGAGCCUGCGGCUUAAUUUGACUCAACACGGGGAAACUCACCAGGUCCAGACAUAGUAAGGAUUGACAGAUUGAUAGCUCUU
rnacentral:rRNA from 1 species